rnacentral:pre_miRNA from 1 species
GUGCCUGAAAUCUUGUCUCAACCUAAUUGCUUGAUAAAACAGGUGAGCAAAGUUUCAGGUGUGU